UACGAAGGGGGCUAGCGUUGCUCGGAAUCACUGGGCGUAAAGGGUGCGUAGGCGGGUUUUAAGUCAGAGGUGAAAUCCUGGAGCUCAACUCCAGAACUGCCUUCGAUACUGGCGAUCUCGAGUCCGGAAGAGGUGAGUGGAACUCCUAGUGUAGAGGUGGAAUGCGCAGAUAUCAGGAGGAACACCGAUAGCGAAGGCAGCUCGCUGGGACGGUACUGACGCUGAGGCGCGAAAGCGUGGGGAGCGAACAGG
rnacentral:rRNA from 1 species